CCCCAACCCUUCCUGCCCUUCCUUCCUUGCAUUUUUGGACCCCGGUGAGGACCCCAGUAAAUCUCUGCAAGGCUUGCCGAGCCCGGAAAGCGGGACGUGGACACGGUCUGGCAGGCUGAGGCGGCCAGGGUGUGGGCGUGGAGGUGCUGGGAGCCAGCGGCCUCGGUUUGCUGCGGCUGUCCCUGCGGACCUCAGCGAGCGAGGGAGAGAGGCGCUGGAAAACAAGGGAGAUGGAGAGCGAGCAGGAAGAGAGCGAGGCUCCUCAGUCCUUCGCAAGCCAAAGGCGGCUCCGCCGGUUCUCCUAACCGGGCCGUGGCACUGGCCGACUGUCCCGAAACCGCUCCCCCGGACCCCUCGGCCUGACACUCAGGACCCUCGGAUGGCGGCGGCGGGCCGGGCGCGCGCUGGUCACCGGCCCACGGUUCCAGAGCCCGCUGCAGCCGCCGCGGCCAGCCACCGCUGCUUCCCGCCUUAAUGAGCACUCGGUUUAGCGGCUGCCAUCGUUUCUGAUGCCUUCGCUGGAAGCAGGGGAAGCGGGGAGGGUCCCCCUAACCACCACCCUCGCCUGGCCCGCCCUGCCCGCACCGCGCUGCUGUUUGGUGCAGGAAGAGGCUAGAAGCGGCCGACCGCAACGCAGAAGCGGGAAGAUCGGGGGCGGGAGGAGGCAAGGCUGAAGAAAGGGAGAUGGACAGGGGACCCGCAGCACACUCCUGCACCGCGAGCGCCCCCUUGGCCUUCAGGAUUCCUGUGGGUUUGAAGAGGCCGAUGCUUGUGGCUCUUACCAACAUCAAUUUGCAGUCGCCAGGAUGCAACUUCACCCUAUGCUGCGUUCAUAAAUUAAUCUCCGGGGAUUAGAUUCUGUGUUUUAGUAACACUCCUGAGGCAUUGUAUUUACACAUUAAUAAUAAAAGAAAAAAGUGAGACAAGUUCUGACAACUUUCAAUAACAUUCAGAAAUAAAGUGUGAGGUGUGGAAGUG